AUUAAACGCUGGCGGCAUGCCUUACACAUGCAAGUCGAACGGCAGCACGGGGGCAACCCUGGUGGCGAGUGGCGGACGGGUGAGUAAAGCAUCGGAACGUAUCCUGGAGUGGGGGGAUAACGUAGCGAAAGUUACGCUAAUACCGCAUAUUCUGUGAGCAGGAAAGCAGGGGAUCGCAAGACCUUGCGCUCUGGGAGCGGCCGAUGUCGGAUUAGCUAGUUGGUGGGGUAAAGGCCUACCAAGGCGACGAUCCGUAGCGGGUCUGAGAGGAUGAUCCGCCACACUGGGACUGAGACACGGCCCAGACUCCUACGGGAGGCAGCAGUGGGGAAUUUUGGACAAUGGGCGGAAGCCUGAUCCAGCCAUGCCGCGUGAGUGAAGAAGGCCUCGGGUUG
rnacentral:rRNA from 1 species